GACUCGGUAGCGGAUGGUCCGCAUCUGCUCUCCUUGCAAGGGGAAUGUGCGAGGAUCAAGCGGAAGAUGCCGGUUCGAUUCUGGCCCGAGUCG